rnacentral:pre_miRNA from 1 species
GAUGUAUUCCCUCCGUUCGGAAUUACUCGUCCAAGAAAUGAAUGUAUCUAGAUGUAUUUUAGUUGUAGAUACAUCCAUUUGUGUGACAAGUAAUUCCGAACGGAGGGAGUAUUAU